AACGAACGCUGGCGGCAUGCCUAACACAUGCAAGUCAAACGAGAUCUUCGGGUCUAGUGGCGCACGGGUGCGUAACGCGUGGGAAUCUGCCCUUUGGUUCGGAAUAACAGUCGGAAACGACUGCUAAUACCGGAUGAUGACGAAAGUCCAAAGAUUUAUCGCCAGAGGAUGAGCCCGCGUAGGAUUAGCUAGUUGGUGUGGUAAAGGCGCACCAAGGCGACGAUCCUUAGCUGGUCUGAGAGGAUGAUCAGCCACACUGGGACUGAGACACGGCCCAGACUCCUACGGGAGGCAGCGGUGGGGAAUAUUGGACAAUGGGCGAAAGCCUGAUCCAGCAAUGCCGCGUGAGUGAUGAAGGCCUUAGGGUUGUAAAGCUCUUUUACCCGGGAUGAUAAUGACAGUACCGGGAGAAUAAGCUCCGGCUAACUCCGUGCCAGCCGCCGCAGUAA
rnacentral:rRNA from 1 species